GUCUCUCUAUAAGAAUGCUUUUGAAGACUUGUACUCAUAUUUUGAAAUUUCAACUCUUUGAAUAGCAAUUGCAUAGUUAAUUGAUUGUGUGGAGUAAAUUAGGUGAACUAAUCAAUCUUCGUUUUGAUCACUUUGUGGAUUUAAAUCAUUGCUAGUUUAUUUUCAGUUUAGGUGAUACCUUGUUGAAUCAUUGAAUGGCAGAGCGCUCUUCCUGAAGUUCAGAAACAAAAAAAGUGUACUGAAAACUUCUACUACAUUUGAAGAAAGGGAUUUGGACUUUGGUAAACUUUGGCUCUUAUGGAUAAAAUAUCAGGAGCUACACAAGCUUCAUGGUCUAGACUUGGAUGAAACAGUGAGAAGUCUCCAGGGGAGCUAGAGAUCAAGCAGAGUAUCUCUAAUAUCAGUAUCUCUGAGGCCUAGGCUCCUAUUCCUCCACUGAUGGGUCAGAAAAAUUGACAAGACCCCUACCAAACCAUCACACAUAAAAAAAAUAUAUAUAUUUCAUCUUGUUUGAAGAUUCCUGGUAGACAAGCCUAUCAAUUCUGAAAACCUUUCCAACAAAGACCAUAUGUAGAACAUGAAAUUAUAUUAAAAAACUCAAUAAAUGAUUGGUGAGCAAUGA
rnacentral:lncRNA from 1 species